UACGUAGGGCGCAAGCGUUAUCCGGAAUUAUUGGGCGUAAGGAGCUCGUAGGCGGUUUUGUCGCGUCUGCCGUGAAAGUCCGGGGCUCAACUCCGGAUCUGCGGUGGGUACGGGCAGACUAGAGUGAUGUAGGGGAGACUGGAAUUCCUGGUGUAGCGGUGAAAUGCGCAGAUAUCAGGAGGAACACCGGUGGCGAAGGCGGGUCUCUGGGCCGAAACUGACGCUGAGGCGCGAAAGCGUGGGGAGCAAACAGG
rnacentral:rRNA from 1 species